rnacentral:rRNA from 1 species
CGAAUGAAAGCUUCUGGCUUAGUGGCGCACGGGUGCGUAACGCGUGGGAAUCUGCCUUGGGGUUCGGAAUAACAGUUGGAAACGACUGCUAAUACCGGAUGAUGACGUAAGUCCAAAGAUUUAUCGCCCUGAGAUGAGCCCGCGUCGGAUUAGCUAGUUGGUGGGGUAAAGGCCUACCAAGGCGACGAUCCGUAGCUGGUCUGAGAGGAUGAUCAGCCACACUGGGACUGAGACACGGCCCAGACUCCUACGGGAGGCAGCAGUAGGGAAUAUUGGACAAUGGGCGAAAGCCUGAUCCAGCAAUGCCGCGUGAGUGAUGAAGGCCUUAGGGUUGUAAAGCUCUUUUACCCGGGAUGAUAAUGACAGUACCGGGAGAAUAAGCCCCGGCUAACUCCGUGCCAGCAGCCGCGGUAAUACGGAGGGGGCUAGCGUUGUUCGGAAUUACUGGGCGUAAAGCGCACGUAGGCGGCUUUGUAAGUCAGAGGUGAAAGCCUGGAGCUCAACUCCAGAACUGCCUUUGAGACUGCAUCGCUUGAAUCCAGGAGAGGUGAGUGGAAUUCCGAGUGUAGAGGUGAAAUUCGUAGAUAUUCGGAAGAACACCAGUGGCGAAGGCGGCUCACUGGACUGGUAUU